rnacentral:misc_RNA from 1 species
AUGCAUUGUUGGAGGAUAUGCAGCGAAUGGGGUUGCUGAGAUUCACAGUGAAAUAGUGAAAAAUGAAGUAUUUAAUGAAUUCUAUAAGUUUGCAGAUAUUGAGAAUCUCCAAUCUGAAUGGAGGGAAGCAAAAAGAAGAAACAAGAUGAAGGUUGCAACCUUUCUUAAAGAAAAAACUGGGUACACUGUCAAUCCAGAUGCAAUGUUUGAUGCACAGGUAAAGCGCAUCCAUGAAGACAAGAGGCAGCUGUUGAACCUCGUGGGAAUCGUUUAUCGCUAUAAGAAGAUGAAAGAAAUGAGUCCUGAGGAAAGACAAGCACGUUAUGUUCCUCGGGUGUGUAUAUUUGGUGGCAAAGCAUUUGCUACAUAAGUGCAAGCCAAGAGAAUUGUGAAAUUUAUCACAGAUGUGGGGGCUACUGUUAACCAUGGUCAAGAAAUAGGUGAUCUUUUGAAGGUUGUGUUUGUUCCUGAUUACAAUGUGAGUGUUGCAGAAGUACUAAUUCCAGGGAGUGACCUUUCCCAGCAUAUUAGUACUGCUGGAAUGGAGGCCAGUGGAACCAGUAAUAUGAAGUUUGCCAUGAAUGGCUGUGUCCUUAUUGGAAACUUAGAUGGUGCAAAUGUUGAAAUAAGGCAAAAGGUUGGAGAAGAUAACUUCUUCCUCUUUGGUGCUCGAGCUGAUGAAAUUGCUGGGCUAAGGAAGGAAAGAGCAGAGGGUAAGUUUGUGCCUGACCCGCGAUUUGAAGAAGUGAAGGCAUUUGUUAGAUUUGGUGUUUUUUGGCCCUAUGACUAUUAAGAACUCAUGGGAUCUUUGGAAGGCAAUGAAGGCUAUGGCAGGGCCGAUUAUUUCCUUGUAGGCAAAGACUUCCCCAGUUACUUGGAAUGCCAAGAGAAAGUUGAUGAGGCCUAUCGUGACCAGAAGAGAUGGACAGAAAUGUCGAUCUUGAAUACAGCUGGGUCAUACAAGUUCAGCAGUGACCGAACGAUUCAUGAAUAUGCAAGAGAUAUAUGGAGGAUUGAUCCUGUUGUGUUACCCUGAAACAAAAGAUUCAGGGUGAGUUUUAAACCAAGGAAAAUAAUGAAUUUGUAAUAUUGACAAGUGUGACACUAAAAGACAAUAAGGGUACCCAAGCAGAGCCAAGUGAAUAAUGAUAUGUUUUCGCAUUACUGUUAAAACUGUGGAUGAG